rnacentral:lncRNA from 10 species
GGCAGCUAGCCCGCCCCAGUUCUUAAAGCUGCAGAGCUGCUGGCAGCUGGCUGGACCCUGCAAGCCCAGUUCUCCCUGCAAGAGUUAACCUGCUCUCCCCGGCUCAACAGAGGGGUAAUUUUGAAAAAUCCUGAUGCCUGGGUGACAGACCCAGAAAUGCAGAUGUAAUUGAUCUAGGGGUGUAUGGCCUGGGCACUAAGGAUUUUUGAAAUCCCUCAAGUGAUUCCAAUGUGCAGCCGAUCUGGUGAAUCGCCAUCUGUGCUGUACAAACUUCAGUGUGCACUGGGAUCACUAGGGGAUCCUGUGAAAGUGCAGGCUUGAUCCAGAAGAUCUAGGGUCAGGCAGAGAUUCUGCAUUUCUAAAAAGCUCCCACAAGAUGCAGCUGCUGGUCCGUGGGCCACACUGUGAAUAGCAAGGGUGAUGUUUUGAGCUUGGAUCUGCAUUCUGCCACCCACAUUUAGAGGUCUUGAAAGCUGGUUGUUAAACAUUUACUAAAACACCACUGGAUACAAGUGACAUCAUACAAGAUCCAGUCCCUGCAACCACUGAUCUGCCUCCUCCCUCUAUGGCGUCACCUGUUUGGAACAUUUCAUGUAAAUGGAACCAUACAAGAUGUGACCUUUUGUGACUGGCUUCUCUCACUUGGCAUAAUGGUCUUCUGUUUGUUUGUUUGUUUGUUUGUUUUGUUGCUCUGUCACCCAGGCUAGAGUGCAGUGGCUCCAUCUCAGUUCACCGUGACCUCCGUCUCCUGGGUUCAAGGAAUUCUCAUGCCUCAGCCUCCCAAGAAGCUGGGAUUACAGGCAUGCACCAACACAAUUGGUUCACUUUUGUAUUUUUAGUAGAGAUAGGGUUUUGCCAUGUUGGCCAGCUGGUCUCAAACUCCUGGUCUCAAGCAAUCCACCCACCUUGGCCUCAAGCAAUCCACCCACUUUGGCUUCCCAAAGUGCUGGGAUUACAGGCAUGAACCACCAUGCCCAGGUAGCAUAAUGUUUUGAGGUUCAUUCAUAUUGCUGCAUGGAUCAGUCUUCAAUUCCUUUUUAUAGCUAGAUAAUAUUCCAUUUCAUGGAUCUACCACAUUUCGCUUCUCUGCUGGUGCUGUUUUGUACCUCAUCUACCCAAAUACAAAACUUGCAUUUCCAUUUCCACAACAAUCCCUGCUCACAGUUUCCUCAUGGGGAUAAUGAUACUUCAUCACAUCCUGUAAGGGUUAAAUAAUACACAACAUGUAAAGCGACCAAAAGCACCUAGCAACUAGUGCUCAAUAAUAUAUUAUUAAUUAUUAUAUCAUCAUUAUAGUCAUUAUGCAAUCAUUAUGAUCAUAUAAAUUCCUCCAACCUCUUGUUUUCUGUUGUAUCUAUUCAUUUGUUUCACAAAUUAUCUUUUUUUUUUUUUUUUUGAGACUGAGUUUCACUCUGUGGCCCAGGCUGGAGUGCAGUGGCACGAUCUUGGCUCACUGCAACCUUUGUCUCCCGGAUUCAAGUGAGUCUCCUGCCUCAGCCUCCCGAGUAGCUGGGACCAUAGGCGCCUGCCACCAUGCUCGGCUAAUUUUUGUAUUUUUAGUAGAGACAGGGUUUCACCAUGUUGGCCAGGCUGGUCUUGAACUCCUGACCUCAGGUGAUCCACCUGCCUCGGCCUCCCAAAAUGGUGAGAUUACAGGUGUGAGGCACUGCACUUGGCCCACAAAAUAUCUUAAAUGCAAUUAUGGUUGGAUAGCCGCAGAGAGAUGUCUGGAUUAGGUACUUGCAAGGAUUAUGUUGAAUUGCAUACUCCUUUGGUUCCCAAUCUGGGGCCAUGAAGCCAUGAGAUCUCUAUUAUACCGUUACAGCAAGGAGUUCAUGAACCACAACUGCAGCAAGCAUUUUCUAGCACUCAGUGGCUACCCUUUCUCUCCUACACAUACAGGCACUACUGUUUCUCAAAUGUGUGCAGUCUCUGUUGAGAAUGAAUAAAAGAU